rnacentral:lncRNA from 12 species
CUUUGGUGAAUUGAAGCAGAAAGCCGGGGCUAAGGCUCAGCAGAGCCUGGACAUCCUACACAGAGUGAAACCCACCACUCUAAGGAAGCCAGCAGUGAUUUUUUCGAUGGUGUCAAGACACUGGAGAUGUAUCAACCUGG